AACGAACGCUGGCGGCAUGCCUAACACAUGCAAGUCGAACGAGACCUUCGGGUCUAGGGGCGCACGGGGGCGUAACGCGUGGGAACCUGCCCUUAGGUUCGGAAUAACUCCCCGAAAGGGGUGCUAAUACCGGAUAAUGUCUUCGGACCAAAGAUUUAUCGCCUUUGGAUGGGCCCGCGUUGGAUUAGCUAGUUGGUAGGGUAAAAGCCUACCAAGGCGACGAUCCAUAGCUGGUCUGAGAGGCUGAUCAGCCACACUGGGACUGAGACACGGCCCAGACUCCUACGGGAGGCAGCAGUGGGGAAUAUUGGACAAUGGGCGAAAGCCUGAUCCAGCAAUGCCGCGUGAGUGAUGAAGGCCUUAGGGUUGUAAAGCUCUUUUACCCGGGAUGAUAAUGACAGUACCGGGAGAAUAAGCUCCGGCUAACUCCGUG
rnacentral:rRNA from 1 species